UAUCACUGAAAACUCUGAGACAAUCAGGGCACUUGCUUUUGAAAAAGAAUUCAAAGCUAGUCACUAUUAGCAUUUGGUAAAUACUUGAGGAAUUAACAUUUAUAAAGUGUUUUGUGGAAGUCUCCUAUUCAAGUACAAACUCUGCUUAAUUUUGAAAGCUCACAAGCUGACAGCCCCAGGAGGUUCAAUAGCUAUGGAGAUGAGAUCAUUUUUUUUCCUCUCUGCCCCGCCCCUCUGUGUGGAGGCCAUAUUCCAACAGCCAGGUAGAUGAAAACACUGGAACACAUGAGCAUGGCAGGAGCUGAGCUCCAUUUCAAGACACAGUUGGAGGUUCAUUAUCCAGGAUACUGCAGAAUGGAAUUGUAACUCUGCCAUGUUGCCCUGUCACAUCUAGAAGGAACUGUUCAUCACCAGAAAGAAAAAGCGUUCUCCAGCACUUAUGGAUCCCUGCUCAUGUCUAAGCAUGAGAAAAACAUCAGACAAAUCCUGAGGGGCAUUCUACAAAAUACCUGACUAGUACCUCAAACCUGUCAGAGUCAUCAAAAACAAGGAAAGUCUAAGAAACAAGCCAAGAAGAACCUAAGGAGAUGUGAUGACUAAAAUGUAAGGUGCUAUCCUCCAUGGGAUCUUGGGACAGAAAAAGGAGAUUAGGGAAAAACUAAGGAAAUUUGAAUAAAGUUGGGACUGUCGUUAGUUAAGUAUAAUGUAAGAUAUUAGUAAUAGGGAAACUAGGUGCAGGGUACAUGGAAAUUCUGUGCUUUCUGCUCACUUUUUCUGUAAAUCUAAAACUUUUUAAAAUAAAAAGUUAGUUUUAAACAUCAUGAGAAAUCACACAUAAAAAGUAGACUGUAGAAAAUUAGUCCAAGUGGAGUUUAUUUUAAAAAGGACUGAUAUACAUUAAGCCCCAAAGGGCUUAAUUCUCUUAAUUCAUUUCUCUUACAUAAAUCUAUGCACAUUUUUUAAAAUUAUGUGAUUAUUUGCUCAUCCCAGAAAUGUCACUUUUUAAAACCCAACAAAAACAUUUACAAAGCAUACAAAACAUAUGCAAAAACUAUAAUUGUAGUUGUUUGUAGAAAGCAAAAUAUGGGAAACAAUUUACCUGUCCAUAUAUUAGAAGGCGAUUGUAUGGUAUUGUGGUUGGCAGGAUUCUAUGAUGAAGCCCCAGUGACCCCACCCUGGAGUAUGGGUGAAACUUGGGUUGGGAUGGAUUCUAUUUUCAUAAUUUGGUUGUCAGAUGGCACAGCUGACCUUCAGAAAGAGAGGUUAUCUUGAGUGGCCCUGACCUAAUCAGGUGGCUCCUGAAAAGGACUCAGCUCUUCCUUUUUUUUUUUCUAUCUAUUUUUUUAAAUUUUUAUUUAUUUAUAAUAGUCACACAGAGAGAG